AUGAAGAACGUAGCGAAAUGCGAUAAGUAAUGUGAAUUGCAGAAUUCAGUGAAUCAUCGAAUCUUUGAACGCACAUUGCGCCCUCUGGUAUUCCGGGGGGCAUGCCUGUUCGAGCGUCAUUACAACCCUCAAGCUUUGCUUGGUAUUGGACAUUGCCAGUUUCUGGCAGGUCUUAAAAUCAGUGGCGGUGCCAUUUGGCUUCAAGCGUUGUAAUUCUUCUCGCUUUGGAGAUCCAGGUGGUUACUUGCCAAUAACCCCCAAUUUUUUCAGGUUGACCUCGGAUCAGGUAGGGAUACCCGCUGAACUUAAGCAUAUCAAUAAGCGGAGGA
rnacentral:misc_RNA from 1 species